rnacentral:rRNA from 1 species
GACGAACCGUGCGAACGUUAUUCGGAAUCACUGGGCUUAAAGCGCGUGUAGGCGGGGCGGCACGUCCGUGGCUGAAAGCCCCCGGCUCAACCGGGGAGUGGCGCGGAUACGGCCGAUCUGGAGGGGGGUAGGGGAGACUGGAAUUCCUGGUGUAGCGGUGAAAUGCGCAGAUAUCAGGAGGAACACCGAUGGCGAAGGCAGGUCUCUGGGCCAUAACUGACGCUGAGAAGCGAAAGCAUGGGGAGCGAACAGG